rnacentral:tRNA from 1 species
UGUCGAAAGCUCAGUUGGGAAAGCGCCUGCUUCUCACGCAAGAGAUGCGGGUUCGAAUCCCGGCGCUGACAU